GCUGGGUACAGUGAUAUGUGCCUGUCAUCCCAGCUACUUGGGAGAUUGAGGCAGGAGGAUUGCUUAAGUCCAGGAAUUCUGGGCUGUAGUAUGCUAUGAUGAUUUGGUGUCUGCACUAAGUUAGGCAUCAAUAUGGUGACCUCCCAGGAGCCAGGGACUACCAGGUUGCCCAAUGAGGGGUGAACAGGCCCAUGUUGGAAACAGAGCAAGUCAAAUCUCCCAUGCUGAUCAAUGCUACUCCCUUUACCUUCCAAUUAUAUCCAUAGUCUGGCUAUUUCUCAUCUCCUGCACUGUU
rnacentral:SRP_RNA from 1 species